rnacentral:rRNA from 1 species
AAACGAUUGAAGUCAGUCAUGCUUCUCUAGAUUCAGCUUGGUCUCCAGGUGUAUUUCUAGUUUUGCAGGCCAGCAUCAGUUUUGUUUGGUGGAAAAAGCUUGAGGAACGUGGCAUCUUCGGAUGUGUUAUAGCCUCUUUGCACAUGCACCAGAUGGGACUGAGGAACGCAGGGUGCCUUUAUGGUCGGUCUUCGGACACGUACGCCCUUAGGAUGCUGGCAUAAUGGCUUUAAACGA